rnacentral:rRNA from 1 species
AUUGAACGCUGGCGGCAGGCUUAACACAUGCAAGUCGAGCGAGUGGCGGACGGGUGAGUAACGUCUGGGAACCUGCCUGAUGGUGGGGGAUAACUAUUGGAAACGGUAGCUAAUACCGCAUACCAUCAGAUCUGCCCAGAUGGGAUUAGCUGGUUGGGGGGGUAAUGGCUCACCUCGGCGACGAUCACUAGCUGGUCUGAGAGGAUAACCCGCCACACUGGAACUGAGCCACGGUCCAGACUCCUACGGGAGGCAGCAGUGGGGAAUAGUGCACAAUGGGCGCAAGCCUGAUGCAGCCAUGCCGCGGGUGUGAAGAAGGCCUUCGGGUUGUAAAGCACUUUCAGCGAGGAAGCGUUACUCGCAGAAGAAGCACCGGCUAACUCCGUGCCAGCAGCCGCGGUAAUUC